rnacentral:rRNA from 1 species
GGGUCAGUAGGUUGGUCGUGCCACCGGUACGUACUGGUCUCACUGAUUCCUCCUUCCUGACGAACCGUAAUGCCAUUAAUUUGGUGUUGCGGGAAACAGGACUGUUACUUUGGAAAAAUUAGAGUGUUUAAAGCAAGCUAACGCUUGAAUACAUUAGCAUGGAAUAAUGAAAUAGGACGAUCGAUCCUAUUUUGUUGGUUUCUAGGAUUGACGUA